UUCUCCUCACCUCCCUCGCUGGCUUAUGAUCAAAAUGGCUCAGUGGACUGUGACCCUUGUCUCUAGAGAGAGAAGGGUUAUAUGGAGGGUCACAUGAGCCUCUGAGGCUAGCGAAAUCCGCCAGCAAACGCGGAACCCACAGAGGCAAGGGGAGAGCUUUGUCACAAUCCACCUGUGAUUAUCAUUUGCACCAA